rnacentral:rRNA from 1 species
AGAGAGAGACAUGCGCGCAUAUCAAUAAGCGGAGGAAAAGAAACUAACAAGAAUUCCCCUAGUAACGGCGAGUGAAGCGGGAAGAGCUCAAAUUUGAAAUCUUCAAGGGUUUACCUUUACGAAUUGUAGUUUAAAGAAGUGUUUUCUGUUGAGGUUUUGGUAAAAGUUCUUUGGAAUAGGACAUCAUAGAGGGUGAGAAUCCCGUAUUUGACCUUUACUUUCAACUUUGUGAUACACUUUCAAAGAGUCGGAUUGUUUGGGAAUGCAGUCCAAAAUGGGUGGUAAAUUUCAUCUAAAGCUAAAUAUUGGCGAGAGACCGAUAGCGAACAAGUACCGUGAGGGAAAGAUGAAAAGAACUUUGAAAAGAGAGUUAAACAGUACGUGAAAUUGUCAAAAGGGAAGCGUUUGACACCAGUGUUGUUUUUCUGAAAAUCAAUUAAAGAACUGUUUAUGCUAAGCUGUUUAGACUUUAUCAGCUAUCUGUUUAGUUUUGAGCUUUUCUUUAAUGCACUUUUCAGUUAACAAGUCAACAUCAAUUUCUUUUGCUGUAAAAAAGCUUGAGGAAGGUGGCUUGAGAUUCGUCUUAAGUGUUUAUAGCCUCUUGCCUAUGCAGUCGGAGAGAUUGAGGUCUGCAGCGUAGAUCCUUCGGGGCUAAAUGCAUUUGUGCUAAGUUAUAGCAUUUUAUAGACAACUUGUUGACUAUGAUUUGUCUUGUAGCUUACUCGCUUAUGUUAUUUUACCUACGCUUAGGAUGUUGACGCAUGAGAUAUACGC